UUGGUCGGAUGGAGCCACACAUUCAUAGAA
rnacentral:piRNA from 1 species